rnacentral:rRNA from 1 species
UGAGGAAUAUUGGUCAAUGGUCGGGAGACUGAACCAGCCAAGCCGCGUGAGGGAUGAAGGUGCUAAGCAUUGUAAACCUCUUUUGUCAGGGAACAAAGGCAUCCACGAGUGGGUGUGUGAGUGUACCUGAAGAAAAAGCAUCGGCUAACUCCGUGCCAGCAGCCGCGGUAAUACGGAGGAUGCGAGCGUUAUCCGGAUUUAUUGGGUUUAAAGGGUGCGUAGGCGGCCUGUUAAGUCAGCGGUAAAAGCCCGGGGCUCAACCCGCGAGCGUGAACAUGGCUGGCUGGAGUUGGCGAGAGGUAUGCGGAAUGCGCGGUGUAGCGGUGAAAUGCUUAGAUAUCGCGCAGAACUCCGAUUGCGAAGGCAGCAUGCCGGCGCCACACUGACGCUGAGGCACGAAAGCGUGGGGAUGCAAACAGGAUUAGAUACC